rnacentral:rRNA from 1 species
UCCUGGCUCAGAUUGAACGCUAGCGGGAUGCCUUACACAUGCAAAUCGAACGGCAGCGCGGACUUCGGUCUGGCGGCGAGUGGCGAACGGGUGAGUAAUGUAUCGGAACGUGCCCAGUAGCGGGGGAUAACUACUCGAAAGAGUAGCUAAUACCGCAUACGCCCUACGGGGAAAGGGGGGGAUCGCAAGACCUCUCACUAUUGGAGCGGCCGAUAUCGGAUUAGCUAGUUGGUGAGGUAAAGGCUCACCAAGGCGACGAUCCGUAGCUGGUUUGAGAGGACGACCAGCCACACUGGGACUGAGACACGGCCCAGACUCCUACGGGAGGCAGCAGUGGGGAAUUUUGGACAAUGGGGGAAACCCUGAUCCAGCCAUUCCGCGUGUGCGAUGAAGGCCUUCGGGUUGUAAAGCACUUUUGGCAGGAAAGAAAUCGCAUCAAUUAAUACUUGGUGUGGAUGACGGUACCUGCAGAAUAAGCACCGGCUAACUACGUG